rnacentral:ribozyme from 14 species
UUUUUCAGUGUUUUAUUUUUUUAUUUUUUUUUUAUUUCUAUAUAUAACAAUAAUGAUGAUAA